rnacentral:rRNA from 1 species
UCCGGGGGGGGCAAGCGUUGUUCGUCCUUCCUUUUCUUCCCUUUCUCUUAGGUGGCCAACUAAGUCAUACGUGAAAUCCCUCGGCUUAACCGGGGAACUGCGUCUGAUACUGGAUGGCUUGAGGUUGGGAGAGGGAUGCGGAAUUCCAGGUGUAGCGGUGAAAUGCGUAGAUAUCUGGAGGAACACCGGUGGCGAAGGCGGCAUCCUGGACCGGUAUUGACGCUGAGGCGCGAAAGCUAGGGGAGCAAACGGG